rnacentral:rRNA from 1 species
UGAAUACGAGACGCUAAGGCGUCGAAGUAGUGUAUGUCAUACUUCCAAGAAAAGCUUGCACUGUCAUAGAUAAAAAACGCCUGUACCAUAACCGACACAGGUGGGUAGGUAGAGUAUACUAAGGGGCGCGAGAUAACUCUCUCUAAGGAACUCGGCAAAAUAACUCCGUAACUUCGGGAGAAGGAGUGCCUUAUUCUUAAGGUUGCAAUAACAAGAUCCAAGCAACUGUUUAUCAAAAACACAGGUCUCCGCUAAGUCGUAAGACGAUGUAUGGGGCUGACGCCUGCCCAGUGCCAGAAGGUUAAAGAAGCUGGUUAGCAUUUGCGAAGCUAGUAACUGAAGCCCUGGUGAACGGCGGCCGUAACGAUAACGGUCCUAAGGUAGCGAAAUUCCUUGUCGGGUAAGUUCCGACCCGCACGAAAGGCGUAAUGAUUUGGAUACUGUCUCGGAGAGGGGCUCGGUGAAAUAGACUUGUCUGUGAAGAUGCGGACUACCUGCACCAGGACAGAAAGACCCUAUGAAGCUUUACUGUAACUUGAAAUUGAAAUUGGACUUUAUUCGCGCAGUAUAGGUGGGAGGCGUUGAUUAUAAUCUUGCGGGAUUAUUGGAGCCAUUAGUGAGAUACCACUCUUGUAAUGUUAGAUUUCUAACUUUGAAUCAUUAUCUGGUCAAAGAACAGUUUCAGGCGGGCAGUUUGACUGGGCGGUCGCCUCCUAAACGGUAACGGAGGCGUACAAAGGUUUCCUCUGAACGGUUAGAAAUCGUAUCUAGAGUGUAAAGGCAUAAGGAAGCUUGACUGUGAGACCUACAAGUCGAGCAGGGACGAAAGUCGGUCUUAGUGAUCUGACGGUACUGAGUGGAAAGGCCGUCACUCAACGGAUAAAAGUUACUCUAAGGAUAACAGGCUGAUCUCCCCCAAGAGUUCACAUCGACGGGGAGGUUUGGCACCUCGAUGUCGGCUCAUCGCAUCCUGGGGCGGUAGUACGUCCCAAGGGUUGGGCUGUUCGCCCAUGAAAGCGGUACGCGAGCUGGGUUCAGAACGUCGUGAGACAGUUCGGUCCAUAUCCGGUGUAGGCGUUAGAAUAUUGAGAGGAGCCUUCUUUAGUACGAGAGGACCGAGAAGGACAUACCUCUGGUGUACCAGUUAUCGUGCCAACGGUAAACGCUGGGUAGCUAUGUAUGGAGUGGAUAACCGCUGAAAGCAUCUAAGUGGGAAGCCCACCUCAAGAUAAGUAUUCCC